AUGCAUGAAAGAAAUGAAAUAUAUAAGAUUUUCUUUGAACAACAUCCUCUGCUUAAAUACAAUUUGCCUAUUGAAACUCUAAGAGGUUCUCCUCCACCUAAAGGUGAUCCUGUGUUUGAAUUAGAACAAUUGCCAAACACUUUGAAAUAUGCUUAUCUUGAUGAAAAGAAGAUAUAUCCUAUUAUUAUUAGUGCUAACCUUUCAGAACAUGAAGAAGAAAGAUUAUUGAAAGUUCUAAGGAAGCACCGAUCUGCUAUUGGAUAUGCUCUUGAUGAUUUAAAGGGCAUUAGUCCCACUCUAUUUCAGCACAAAAUUAAUAUGAAACCUGAUGCUAAACCCGUUGUUGAUCACCAAUGUCGGUUAAAUCUGAAGAUGAAAGAAGUGGUAAGAACGGAAAUAUUAAAACUUCUGGAAGCAGGUAUACUCUAUCCCAUAGCUGAUAGUAGAUGGGCAAGUCCUGUUCAUUGUGCCCCUAAGAAAGGAGGUAUUACUGUUGUUCCUAAUGAUAAGAAUGAACUUAUUCCACAAAGAAUUGUUAAAGGCUAUAGAAUGGUAAUUGAUUUUAGAAAAUUAAACAAAGUAACUAGAAAAGAUCAUUACCCUCUGCCUUUUAUUGAUCAAAUGCUAGAAAGAUUAUCUAAGCACACACAUUUUUGCUUCCUUGAUGGAUUUCUGGUUUUUCACAAAUACCUGUUUCUCAACCUGAUCAUGAAAAGACCACUUUUACUUGUCCCUUUGGAACUUAUGCUUAUAGACGUAUGCCUUUUGGUUUAUGCAAUGCACCUGCUACCUUUCAAAGAUGUAUGA
rnacentral:rRNA from 1 species